rnacentral:pre_miRNA from 1 species
AGUGAAGUUGCUGUGUAAAAUGGUAAUUGCAUGUUUUGUUUUAUAAGAAACUGCCAAACUGUUUUCUAGAAUAGCUAUACCAUUUUACAUUCCCACCAGCAAU